GGAAUUGAUAAGCGCUGAAAGCAUCUAAGCGCGAAGCGAGCCCUGAGAUGAGUCUUCCCUGACAGUUUAACUGUCCUAAAGGGUUGUUCGAGACUAGAACGUUGAUAGGCAGGGUGUGUAAGCGUUGUGAGGCGUUGAGCUAACCUGUACUAAUUGCCCGUGAGGCUUAACCAUACAACACCCAAGGGGUUUUGUA
rnacentral:rRNA from 1 species